rnacentral:rRNA from 1 species
UACAGAGGGUGCAAGCGUUAAUCGGAAUUACUGGGCGUAAAGCGCGCGUAGGCGGUCGAGUGAGUCGGAUGUGAAAUCCCCGGGCUUAACCUGGGAAUUGCAUUCGAUACUGCUUGGCUAGAGUGUGGAAGAGGGAAGCGGAAUUUCCGGUGUAGCGGUGAAAUGCGUAGAUAUCGGAAGGAACACCAGUGGCGAAGGCGGCUUCCUGGUCCAACACUGACGCUGAGGCACGAAAGCGUGGGGAGCAAACAGG